UUUCCGUAGGUGAACCUGCGGAAGGAUCAUUACCGAUUCGCGACGGUUCGCAGGCGCGGUGCUGCGGGGUUCCCCCCGCGGCCCGCGUCCUGCGGCCAUCGCAUCUACCCUUCACUGUACGAGCACCUUUUCGUUCUCCUUCGGCGGGGCAACCUGCCGCUGGAACCAACAACCAAACCUUUUAUUCACAGCAUUACCCAUUCCGAUACCAACAAUCAAUUACAACUUUCAACAAGGGAUCUCUUGGCUCUGGCAUCGAAGAAGAACGCAGC
rnacentral:misc_RNA from 1 species